rnacentral:rRNA from 1 species
UACGUAGGUGCAAGGCGUUAAUCGGAAUUACUGGGCGUAAAGCGUGACGCAGGCGGUGAUGUAAGACAAUUGUGAAAUCCCCAGGCUCAACCUGGGAACUGCGCUCGAAACUGUGGGUCUUGAGUGUCGGAGAGGAUGGCGGAAUUCCUGGUGUAGAGGUGAAAUUCGUAGAUAUCAGGAGGAACACCGGUGGCGAAGGCGGCCAUCUGGACGACAACUGACGCUGAGAGUGCGAAAAGCGUGGGGAGCAAACAGG